rnacentral:rRNA from 1 species
UACGAAGGGGGCUAGCGUUGCUCGGAAUCACUGGGCGUAAAGCGCACGUAGGCGGAUUCCUAAGUCGGGGGUGAAAUCCUGGAGCUCAACUCCAGAACUGCCUUCGAUACUGGGAAUCUUGAGUCCGGAAGAGGUGAGUGGAACUGCGAGUGUAGAGGUGAAAUUCGUAUAUAUUCGCAAGAACACCAGUGGCGAAGGCGGCUCACUGGUCCGGUACUGACGCUGAGGUGCGAAAGCGUGGGGAGCAAACGGG